AACCAUAGAAACCUGCGGAGUACCUGCGGAGGGAUCAUUAUAAAAUUUUCAUAUAUUAAAUUUAUUUAAUAUAUAAAAUUUAUAUACAAAAUGUAUUCAAAACCCACACUCUUUAUAACCAUAAAAAAAAUAUAUUAUUUUUAUAAUAUAAAAACAACUUUCAACAAUGGAUCU
rnacentral:misc_RNA from 1 species